rnacentral:rRNA from 1 species
AUUGAACGCUGGCGGCAGGCCUAACACAUGCAAGUCGAACGGUAGCACAGAGGAGCUUGCUCCUUGGGUGACGAGUGGCGGACGGGUGAGUAAUGUCUGGGAAACUGCCCGAUGGAGGGGGAUAACUACUGGAAACGGUAGCUAAUACCGCAUAACGUCGCAAGACCAAAGAGGGGGACCUUCGGGCCUCUUGCCAUCGGAUGUGCCCAGAUGGGAUUAGCUAGUAGGUGGGGUAACGGCUCACCUAGGCGACGAUCCCUAGCUGGUCUGAGAGGAUGACCAGCCACACUGGAACUGAGACACGGUCCAGACUCCUACGGGAGGCAGCAGUGGGGAAUAUUGCACAAUGGGCGCAAGCCUGAUGCAGCCAUGCCGCGUGUAUGAAGAAGGCCUUCGGGUUGUAAAGUACUUUCAGCGAGGAGGAAGGCGUUGUGGUUAAUAACCGCAACGAUUGACGUUACUCGCAGAAGAAGCACCGGCUAACUCCGUGCCAGCAGCCGCGGUA